CCUGCGGUCCGUGUCCCUCUGCCUGUUUGGUGUCUUCAGGCCCUUGUACCACCCCUCCCUUCUCCUCUUGGAAUUCUGGUGAAACUGGACACCUCUGGAUAGCCAGCUUCGUCCUCUGCAAACCUUUAGCUGGCUGUCGGGGGACACCGCAGAUCGGAAGUGGCUGCCCUGAGGGGCAGCUGGUCAUGCAGAAGCGAUGUUGAGUUAAUUAACUUUGAUCCCGUGCAUUCUGAAGGGCUAAAUAUGUGAGUCCUUCCCUCAGCACACAGGACAUCGGACGCAACUGCUCAGCUAGAUCACAUCCUCUACCCCCUCACAGCGUGCGUAGCGGACCCUCUCAAGACUCACCGAUCACACAAGACACACUACAAAAUAUCACUUCUAAAGCUCCCUGCUCCUCACUGAGUGCUCGCAUGACUCAGCUGCAGAACCAGGCUAUAUCCUGCAAAAAUGGAAUUCCUUUGCAUGCAAAAUGCAUAUUGACAUAGAUGAGAAUAUGUAUAGCAUAAUACAGCACGUCAGCGUGAUGUAGCUGUACAAGCUACAGCCAAAGAGAAGCUGAAAAGGAUCUAUGAUUGGCUGUGUAUUGAUAAUGCAGCCGGAUCAGCCGAACGGGUAUCAGCGUCAGUGGGCUUUACAGGACGGAACAGCCCCCAUUUCGUGCCGGCAGCGACAAAUCUUCAGCUAUUCCCAGAAAUAAGCUAAUGAAGAGGGAAAUAUAAACCUUCCACCCUGACCGGGGGCCCUGUAUAUACCUGCGGCUGGGCAGGAGCUGCCGGAACCGCCGAGCGCCUCUCCCGGGAGUGGAGCGCCCCGGGACAGCCAUGCCGCUCUCUCCCUCCCACCGGCGCAGCGGCCCCGCCGCUCCGGGCAGAGCCCGGCCAGAGCGGCGGGCGGAGCUGCCGGAGGUGCCACCGGCCCGGCCCCGCGGCGCUGGAGCCGAGCCUCGGGCAGCCUCGCCCCGCCGAGCCGGCUGCGCCCCGGGCCCGCCCGCCGCUCCCGAGGAGCACGGCCCGGCGCGGCGCGGCGAGCGCGGCCAUGGAGCGGCGCGGGGGCCGGCGGCAGGACUCCGGAGAUAGUGUUUCUGAACUACGGGAAUGGAGACCAGCCAUUUACAGAAAGUGUACCGACGUUCUCUGGCUGCUCCUCUUCUGUCUUUUCUGGGCUGGUUUGAUGUUUAUAAGUGGCUAUGCUGUGGUGGUUGGUGCUGCAGAAAGACUUGUGCUUGGAUAUGACAGCUUUGGGAACAUAUGUGGUCGGAAGAACACUCCUGUAGAAGGGGCAAAUCUUUCUGGAUUGGACAUGACUAAUAAAAAGUAUGUGUUCUUUCUAAAUUCAUGCAGCCUGGAAAUACAAGGCCCCAAAAUCAGUUCACUCUCCUUGUGCGUGUCAAGUUGUCCACAACAGCAACUCAACUCUUUGGAAGAUCUACAGAGUUUUGCAAGGAAUAAUGGUUCUUUCCUUUGUGUUUACAACCUGAACGUUUCCAGUUACACAGUAAAUCCAAAGGCAGCUCAGCUGUGUCCCACACUGCCAGUUCCACCAAGUAAAUCUUUUCCGUUAUUUAAUCGCUGUGUUCCACAAAAUCCUGAAUGCUAUUCCAAAUAUGCAUCUGUCCUCAUAAGUCUGGUUAAUGAAAUGGAUGUUUUUCACCGAAUUCUGAGUGGAAUAUUGGCAGGAAGAGAUACUGUGAUAGGACUGAGUGUCCUUGCACUAGCCUUCUCUUUGAUACUGGUUUUAGCCUUCAGAUUCAUUCAGACUCUCUUCAUCCAUACUCUGAUUGCACUGGUAGUGUUCGGGUUGUUGUUUGUCUCAGGUGUUCUCUGGUGGCUCUAUUAUGACUACAGGAAUGACCCCAGCACUGAACUGGAAACUGAAAAGGAAAAUGUAAAGUUCCUACUUGGAUAUGCCAUCUUCUCAACAAUCAUCACUGUUGCUCUGCUCUCCCUUAUAUUUGUACUAAGAAAGAGGCUUCCAUUCUCUGUACAGCUCUUUCGAGUUGUUGGCAAAAUCAUUGGCAGAAUUCCUUUCCUCCUGUUCCAGCCACUCUGGACUUUUCUGAUUCUCAUUGUGUUCUGGGUAUUUUGGGUUGCUAUACUGCUUAGCUUAGGAACUGCAGGUACUGCACAGUCCACUUCGGGAGGACAAGUAGAAUACAGAGCUCUGUCUGGAAUUUGCUACAUGGCAUGGUAUCAUUUCGUUGGCCUUGUCUGGACUAGUGAAUUCAUUCUUGCCUGUCAGCAAAUGGUGAUUGCUGGGGCAGUGGUUACUUGUUAUUUCAACAGAAAUAAAAAUAACCCACCACCUCACCCAGUCCUGUCUUCCAUAUCAGUUCUUUUCUGCUACCAUCUAGGAACUGCUGUAAAAGGCUCAUUUCUAAUCACAAUACUGAGAAUACCAAGGAUUAUUCUCUUGUUCCUUUACAAUAUCCUAAACCAAAAGAAGAAUGCAAAGCCCCUGUUCAACUGCUGUUUCUGCUGGGUUUGCUUCCAGAAAAGUUGCUUAAGAUACUUUAACCAGCAUGCAUACACAACUACAGCCAUAAAUGGGACAAAUUUUUGUACAUCAGCAAAGGAUGCUGUCUGUAUUUUGGCAAGGAAUUCUGAUAAACUUGCAUCCAUUAGCUGCUUUGGAGAUUUUCUCCUAUUUUUAGGAAAGGUGUUUGUUGUAUGCUUCACUGUUUUUGGAGGAUUGAUGGCAUUUAACUACCACCGAGAGUUGCAAGCUUGGGUAGUUCCUCUGUUGCUGGUUGGAUUUUUUGCCUACCUGAUGUCCCACAGCCUUCUGUCUGUGUUUGAAGUGACAGCAGAUGCCACGUUCCUUUGCUUUGCUAUUGAUAUGGAAACAAAUGAUGGAACUGCAGAGAAGCCAUACUUUGUGGAUCAGGAGCUGCUGGUAAAUCCCACUGAUUACAAAGAUAUUUGAGACAUUCUAAGCUUUUAAGCACUUUUUCUUUCCCCAAGACCGAGUAAUCUGAACUCACAAGCCAUGCUAUUUCCUUUCCAAGACCUUAGAACAGGAUGGACUCAGGGAUACAAGUACAUUAAUUUAUAAACUGAAGUAAGUGGGUCCCUCUGACUCCUGUGUCUUAGCUACAACCUGCUGCCUUCUUUUGGUCAUAUUCAGUAAGUAAUGGCUGACUAUUUAAGCCUAAUUAGAUAUAUAUUCAAUAUGUUGUUGGUAAUUAAAAGAUAUAAAUAAAUAGACAAGCUAGCUGUCUAUUUAUUUAUAUUCAUAGGGUGCCCUAAGAUUAAUGCUUUUAUUUCUUGUGACUCACUGUACACUGAUGAGAAAAAAGUAACAAGUAGCAGGUCAGGGAUCCAUUCCACAUCCUACAGAUGCUGUAGUUCUGAACAUAUUCCAUGCAAAUCUGAGUUGCUCUGCUUUAUACCUUUACAGAUUCUUUUACCAAAACAUUGUCUUCUAUCUCUUGAUUAAACUCUUCUGCCUCUGGACAGGUUGUUCUGCAUCUUUACCCUUGUAAUUACUGUAUUGCAUUACCUUCAGUACUUAGCUAAUAGUGAUGUAGUGCUGGAACUGAAGCCUUUGAGUAUGUAUGUGUCAUCCCUUGCUAAUUAAGAGAAUAUCUGAAGAUGCAGGUAUUUUUUUCCUUUUGUGCUAUUUUUGACACUUCUGUCUUUUCCUUCACAAACUACACAACAAGAGAAAAUCGUAGCAAUUCAUGAAAACAAAUAACCAGCAGCCAGAGUAGCUCAUAUGACACAAAUGUUCUGGAUGGAUUUCUUCAGGACAAUGUCAAAACUGUUUUGGAGGUUUUUUUUUUGUUUUGUUUUGUUUUUUUUUUUUUUUUAAUGUUGCUGUUAGAGUUUCUGUAAUACUCAUAGAAUUUUGUUGAGAACAACAACAGCACAACAAAAAGGCAGCCUAAAGAUAGGCUUAACCCUUUGUACAGAAGAAAGCAGAUAUAUAUUCUUUGGCUUUGGUUCAGAAUAGUACUUAAGCACAUUGCCUGGCUAGGAAUAUAAAACCGAAUGGAAAACUCUGAAGCCUUGACCUCUGUUCUUCCCUCUCUGUUUUGCCAAAUUCUAAAAUACUUCUUAAGCCAAUUUUCCUUCAUGAAACAGAGGCUCUCCUUUCUCCACUUCCAAACUUUGUGGUAGUGUCUCUUUAACUCUGCUCUUAAUUCUGCAUAAUUAGCCAUGCCCUAGAGCUGUGGGUGAAGAGAGGAUUUCCCACAGGGACAAGGAGUCUUCCAAGCAGGACAGGCUUCUGUACCCUUCUAUGGAAAAACUGUGGGCAGCACAUCCAAACUCCUCCUCAUUGUAUGAUCAAGAACCUUUGUGAGUCAGAGUAACAAGUUAACAGAAGGGCGAAACCACAGAAACACAAGACCAUUCCAGGAUAAUGAAGAUGGGACAGAGCUCCAGCCUAUGACUUGAAUGUGAAGUUCACCAGGAGGUGUGGAAGCAGAGCAGCAAUAGCAAAAAAGGUCAUAUCAGUAAAGGUUACCAAUAGCCCAGGCCAAAGUACUAGCUCCCUAAUCUGUUGUAUCUUCUGCACUGGUAAAAUGACACACAAUCUGUUUGUAUGAAUAAAAUAUUUUGUGUGUCAUCACAUCUGAUUUUUAUUACUAUAUUUGUUACGAUGGUCUGAAAGUUGAUAAUAAACUCACUGUUUGUAAA